GUAGCCGGCAUCAAUAUCGCUUGAGACCACGUCACACAAUUCAGGAACCUGGCUAGCCUGUUGCCACCACUGCCUUCAAGAACCAAGGAUUCUGAGCAUCUCAUUAAUGAGACAACACUCAGGAGUAAGAAUUAUGCCCUGCCUGCGCUCCUGAUGCGGUAGAACUGAAGCAAGCAGUAGACAGUUUGACGCAAAAAAAAAAUCACGCAACUACCGUCGUAUCAGCCAUUUCUAAAAACUCCUACCUGAACAUGACAAAACAACAUCCUACAAUCUGCUAGUAACUUGCAGGCCCCUGUGGCUUCUGGAUAACAAAGAGAAGGCCAAAGAAAACAGAAGAGUGAAGACUUCCACAAGAAGGCAACGUUUCUAAGCAAUGCCAAAGCACCCGCGAGGGAUCGGAGCUGAAAUCUCAACA
rnacentral:lncRNA from 1 species